GGGUUGUGGCGUAGUUUAAGCAGAGAGGGUGCGCAGGAUAAAGCUAUUCACCAUUGUUUCAACAUGAAGGUUUGUAAUAAAAAUUUGUUUCUAUCAGCAUUGCUUUGCAUUGCUGUUGCAGGAGUUUUGGGUCAAGCUCCUAGUAAUCCUCCUACGUCUACGCCGGCGCCACCCACACCACCGGCUUCUACUCCUCCUCCGACGACUCAAGCACCGCCUACACCAACCGCCACUCCGCCACCGGUUUCUACUCCUCCUCCCACUUCAUCACCGCCCCCAGUGACAGCUUCUCCACCCCCAGUUUCAACUCCUCCACCCAGUUCUCCUCCUCCUGCAACUCCACCACCUGCUUCUCCUCCUCCUGCAACUCCACCUCCAGCUUCUCCACCUCCUGCCACUCCUCCACCAGCUUCUCCACCUCCCGCCACUCCACCACCUGCAACCCCACCGCCAGCAACUCCUCCUCCUGCUACCCCACCACCAGCUCCAUUGGCUUCUCCUCCAGCCACAGUCCCAGCUAUCUCUCCAGUACAAACACCAUUGACAUCGCCACCAGCUCCGCCGACCGAGGCCCCAGCACCUACCCUCGGGGCUGCUACGCCAGGUCCAGCUGGAACUGACACGGUACAUUUUCUCUUAUUCCACCAUUUUAUAUCCUUCUUCUCCACCUACGAUCAAGCUUUAUUAUCGGUUGAAAUUUAAGCCUUUACAGCAAGACUUAAAAUAUAAUUUUAUUAAUGGUUUUAUAAUAUUAAAUUAUAAUUUUAUCAUUCUUACACAUUAAUAUAUAAUGUGAUAAAAUUUUUUACUUUGGGUACCGUGCCAACUUCCUAACGUCGCCCUUAAUCUUACAUAAACAACGAUCUGAGCUUGUCUCGAUAUUAGCUAACCCUUAAGCCAUUAGAGAUGGCUAUUGGUUCCGUCUCGACAUACCUUCAACAUAAUCUGAUUUAAAAUUAAAUACUUAUAUCUAUUUUUUAACACAAUAUUUAAAAUUAUCUAUAAUUUCUUCUCAACUUAUAAUUAAAAUAACAAUACUUCAGCGUAUUCAAAUUUACGUACCUAUGUUAAUCUAAUUUGACAAUAAUAUUUAUGUUAAUUGAAUUAAAGCUUGAGAUAUUAAAUUUAAUUAAGA
rnacentral:lncRNA from 1 species